UACGUAGGGUGCAAGCGUUGUCCGGAAUUAUUGGGCGUAAAGAGCUCGUAGGCGGUCUGUCGCGUCGAAUGUGAAAACCCGAGGCUCAACUUCGGGCCUGCAUUCGAUACGGGCAGACUAGAGUUCGGUAGGGGAGUCUGGAAUUCCUGGUGUAGCGGUGAAAUGCGCAGAUAUCAGGAGGAACACCGGUGGCGAAGGCGGGACUCUGGGCCGAUACUGACGCUGAGGAGCGAAAGCGUGGGGAGCAAACAGG
rnacentral:rRNA from 1 species